UCCAUUGAGUCCUUGAGUCGGUACGAAAUCCAAAAUCCCCAAAUUACUGGGAAGGAAAAACAAAUUAAAUUUCAACGACAGGACUGAGUAAAAGAGAUUUCAAAUCUUUCUUUCCGAUAAAGAAAAACAUUCUCAGCAAUUAUCUUGUCAUCCCUGGAAUGCAACAGAUUCUCUGCUGCUAUCUAAAUAGGAGAAUCAGCAGCCGAGCUUGACCAAAAACACUGAGCAGACUCGUCCGGCAAAGAUAGAGAAGAGAGUACCUGGUUCUCAGAACAGGGCUGAUGUAUUCUACACAAGGGCAAUUGACGAGGUAUAUACAUAUCCUGGUUGCAUCAUAUGCUUUACUUGAAAGAAUGUUCAUGCUGCCCAACUAUAAGUAUCAAAGGGGCAAUGACGAGCUUGACAUCUUUCAAUCAUCAAAACCAGCCGAUUUUGACUUGGGACAUCUCUAAUGUGAAAAUUGCACAAUGUUGAAUUGUACUUAGCUUGUAUGUAGGUGUCUAAUUUUGCUGCUCAAAGUCAAACCUCAUUUGUCUCAUUGACUUGUAUUCCUGCUCCCAGGUAAAUCUAAAAGGCCCUACUACUCCUUUUAUGUUCUUCAAACUUUGUUAGUAGUAUGUAUACUAUAGUAUGAAACAGAGAUAGGAAGUGUUUGGUUAUGCUUUAAGAAACUUAGAGUUAAUCCAGAGAGAGAAUAAGGAAACAGAGUAGUAAUGUUUGCAUUAAGUGUGAGAGAUGGAGGUGGAAAUAAAUUUAAUUUGUAUUUAUCACAUGACGUAAUACCCUCAUAAUUCUUCAA